ensembl:lncRNA
GCUGUAAUGACAGGAUACAUUUGCUCUGCGAUUGUGUGUCCAUGUGCGCGUGCGGGGUUCUCGAGUUUUGAACCUCAUCUUUUUGGGGGUGGUGGGUCAAAGUUUGAAAACCGCUGAGCUAGCGAACAGAUUGCUGAUUUGCUGUAACAGCUAUAGGACGGGUUGCAGCGCAAACGUGAAAUUGUAGAGAGCGUGAGAGGACAGCCAUAAAUGAAUAUGCAGUUAAAAAAUGGUUUGGUGGGCAAGAAUAUGAACAUUUUUCUUUGCAAUAUCACUGGCAAUGGGGCAACAAUUAGUAGCAAAGGCCUACUGGUCUUUUGGUAUGUCCAAAUUGCUUCAAGUUGAUCUUUACUUAUGAAGCUUGCAUUUGGAAUUUGUUCAACCUAAUUAUUACGACUUCAGAAUGCACGACUUGGACUUGACAAUCAAUUUGGGACUCGAUUUGGACCUUCGAAUAAUAGUGAUUUGGUCCCACCUCUGACUUUUGGUUAUACAACGUUAUAUGGUAAUGCUAGUGAGCCAGGCUAGUUAUGAUAACACAGAUUUAAGGGGAAGGAUACUGUAGUUAGUUAAAUACAGCAAGGUAAUGUGCUGUAGACUGUCGGGUGAAGCAGUGUAUGGCUCACGUUAGCUAGCUACCUUACAACAGCUAACUGUAGCACAUUAGCAUUUAGGGUCAAUUUAGGUCAGGCACUUGGAUAUUAACUUGCUAGCUAAUCAUAGGAUGUAGCCAGUUUGCUUUCAAUGUUUCAACUCGGACAAAGACCAACCCGGAUUUGCAAAUUAGGUACACUACAUGAGUACACUACCAAAAGUAUGAGGACAGGCGAUUUUUGUUUGUUUUACACACUACGUUCUUCAGCACUCUCCGGUCCUGUUCUGUGAUCUUGUGUGGCCUACCUCUUCCCGGCUGAGCCGCUGUUGCCCCUAGACGUUUCCAAAUCCCAAUAACAGCACUUCCAGUUCACCGGGGCAGCUCUAGCAGGACAGAAAUUUGACUGGUUGGAAAGGGGGGGAAAAACAUCACCAAAUUCACUGAGAAGAGGUCUGCAUACCCUCAACUCAGAUGUUUGUCCGCUGCUUUCGCCGUACCUGGAAGAGAGCCAGCUCUUCUCAAGACCACCUCCAGGUAUCGGCGACAAGCGGACCGCCACCAGACCACGGCUCCCUGGUAUUGUCUCGGGCAGAGGUUUUCCUGGUUUUGACCAUUCUGCCUGCCAGCCGUUCUCUACAUUGUCACACCACCCUGGAUUAUUGACCUCUGUCUGCCCUUGACCUGUCAUUUGCCUGCUCCCCUCUUUUUGUAAUAAACUUUUGUUACUUGGAUAA